UCCCUGGUAGCUCAGUUGGUAAAGAAUCUGUCUGCACUACAGGAGAUCCAGGUUCAUUUCCUGGUAGGGAA
rnacentral:tRNA from 1 species